GAUUUCUGGUUUGGUGCGCCUGGCCCACUGCCUUCAGGUAUGUGAGUGCCGGUGCGCGCCUGCCAUCCCUUCUAGAGAACGGCUCUGCCCUUCACUGGUGUCGGAGUCGCGAUCUAGAUCUUUUACUUUGAAAAAAUUAGAGUGUUUAAAGCAGGCUUGCGCUAUGAAUACAUUAGCAUGGAAUAAUAAUUUAGGACUUUGGCCCUAUUUUGUUGGUUUCUAGGACUGAAGUAAUGAUUGAUAGGGAUAGUUGGGGGUGCUCGAAUUCAGCGGCCAGAGGUGAAAUUCUUGGAUUCGCUGAAGACGAACUCAUGCGAAAGCAUU
rnacentral:rRNA from 1 species